rnacentral:rRNA from 1 species
CCUUGGGUGACGAGCGGCGGACGGGUGAGUAAUGCCUGGGGAUCUGCCCGAUAGAGGGGGAUAACUACGGGAAACUGUAGCUAAUACCGCAUAAUGUCUACGGACCAAAGUGGGGGCUCUUCGGACCUCAUGCUAUCGGAUGAACCCAGGUGGGAUUAGCUAGUUGGUGAGGUAAUGGCUCACCAAGGCGACGAUCUCUAACUGGUUUGAGAGAAUGACCAGUCACACUGGAACUGAGACACGGUCCAGACUCCUACGGGAGGCAGCAGUGGGGAAUAUUGCACAAUGGGCGCAAGCCUGAUGCAGCCAUGCCGCGUGUGUGAAGAAGGCCUUCGGGUUGUAAAGCACUUUCAGCGGGGAGGAAGGGUCACUAGUUAAUACCUAGUGGCAUUGACGUUACUCGCAGAAGAAGCACCGGCUAACUCCGUGCCAGCAGCCGCGGUAAUACGGAGGGUGCAAGCGUUAAUCGGAAUUACUGGGCGUAAAGCGCACGCAGGCGGUUUGUUAAGUCAGAUGUGAAAUCCCCGAGCUCAACUUGGGAACUGCAUUUGAAACUGGCAAGCUAGAGUCUUGUAGAGGGGGGUAGAAUUCCAGGUGUAGCGGUGAAAUGCGUAGAGAUCUGGAGGAAUACCGGUGGCGAAGGCGGCCCCCUGGACAAAGACUGACGCUCAGGUGCGAAAGCGUGGGGAGCAAACAGGAUUAGAUACCC